rnacentral:rRNA from 1 species
UACGUAGGCAGCAAGCGUUGUUCGGAAUUACUGGGCGUAAAGAGUGUGUAGGCGGUGCUCCAAGUCUGGUGUGAAAUCUCCCGGCUUAACGUGGAGGUGCAUUAGAAACUGGAAUGCUAGAGGAUGGGAGAGGUAAGCGGAAUUCCUGGUGUAGCGGUGAAAUGCGUAGAUAUCAGGAGGAACACCGGUGGCGAAGGCGGGUCUCUGGGCCGUAACUGACGGCUGGAGGAGCGAAAGCGUGGGAGCGAACAGGAUUAG